AGAUGCUCCCAGGCUCUCCCGCAGUUUAAAGACUUAACUCAGCGGCUUUCAGGGCCUGUGGUUGAGGGACUCCGAAAGAACUGUUGCUGGUGGACCGGUUCAGGGUCUUGACUUCGCCACACAAAAGAACUUGAGAGCACGUCCAAAGUAAAGCUAAGACCUCUAGUACAGUGUUCAAUGGAACUGGUGAGAAAAGACGUCCUUGCUGUGUUCCUGAUAUGAAGAGGAAAGCAGUCCUUCUCCAUUAAAUGCUGACAACAUGAGCCUCCCGUGGUCGGAACGGGCUUGUGAAGGCGGUGCUGGGGUGCACCAGGGCAGCAGCUACAGAAUGCACCAGCUGGAGUCGACAUUAAAGGGCCCCAUUUCCCAUUUGCUGCAGAAGAUGUUUAAUUGGAAGUCUCUCCCUGUCCUUUUACCCUCUGGUGCUGGGCACCAAUGAGAAGCUCAUCUGGCCCCGGGAUCCUGGCAGGACACUGGGAGCACUAUUUCCAUGGGCAGCAGGGUUGUUCCUGGAGACAUCACUGACCCAGGACACCUAGCACAAUGGCACUCGAUGUGAAAGUGGCUUCGUACAAAUCUGCCACUCAAGCCUAAAUAAGUGCAUUCCAGAAGAGCCGCAGCCCCUCUAACAGCUCCUGAGGUGAGGGAAACCCUAGGGAUGGGAAGUUGGAGCAGAAAGAGAUGGUGGCCUGAAGUCAACUGCAGUGAAAAUCUCUCCCCAUCAGCAAGUUUUGCAAAGCUAUGGCCACAGGGACACAUGACUGGGGCCCCUCCUAGUCUUGGAAGGAGCCCCCAUGGAAAUGAGGGCCUCACAGUGAAUCCACCUCUGAUCCUACUUCACCUGCAGUCAAAUGAGAAGAGAUUUCAAUCAGCUAAAGACACCCUAUCCCCUCUCCCCGACCCCUGCGACCCCAGGAGCUCCUGCCUUGUCACUGUGUCCCCAAACGAACCGCAUCUGAAUCAAGCCCCUUUCUCUCCCUAGUGGUCAACAUCUGGGCUGUGAUGGGCAGCUCCCACUCUUGCCUUAGAAUAUGACUGGAGAGGUGACUUCUCAUCACAUGGAGAAUAUGUUCACCCCAUGGUGCUUUCCACCCAAGCUGACCAUGGCUUGACUUUUUGGUGUAGUUGCUAGCUCUGUGCCAUCCUUGGCAAUGUGACCCUGGAGCAGCUGUCCCCAGUGUGCAUUUGGGGGAUUUCAUGUAAUUAUGAAUAGGAUGCAAAUUUUAUAGCCCCAGUGAAGGGAAACACCCCUGGCGAGGCUUCCCGGGGCCAGAGAGAGGACUCCACUGAGGGAGAUGGUGGCAGGGCCAUUCUUUGUGUCCUGCUUUUUUUUUUUUUUUUUUUUUUAACAUCCUCUUUAUGUCCUGAGAGCCAUGUGCAGAUGAGGAAAAAUGACAUGCAAUGCAUUUUUGCCUGCCACAAUGACUUUGCAAUCAUAACAAGCAAAAUGUUCUAAACAGUAAGUGAAUCGAGGAAGAUAUACUGCCAAGUCAGGAAGAAAAAAUCCACCUGUUCAGUGAUUUCAGGAACUGCUGAAGAAAAUCACCAGUGAGUAUCAGUUUCUGCAAGAGAAUCUAAUGCAGGCUUUGCUUCUCAUCGGAAUCCCCCAGCUGGUGUCUUGGUUGACUGAGAGUCUGGGGGAGAGGGCAGAGAAUGGAUUUAUUCUCUGCUAGGUUUUUAACAGUCAAGAAGGGCUGUGGUCCUAAGGGGCACUGGUCAAACCUUAGUGUGCAUCAGAAUUAUCUGGAUAAGGCUAGGCACAGUGGCUCACGCCUGUAAUCACAGCACUUUGGGAGGCUGAGGCGCGUGGAUCACCUGAGGUCAGAAGUUCAAGACCAGCCUGGCUCUUUUAGUAGAGAAACCCUAUGUCUAUUAAAAAGUACAAAAUUUAGCCAGGUGUGGUGGUGAGUGCCUGUAAUCCCAGCUACUUGGGAGGCUGAGGCAGGACAGUCACUUGAAUCUAGGAGGCAGAGGUUGCAGUGAACUGAGAUCGUGCCAUUGUGCUCCAGCCUGGGCAACAAGAGUGAAACUCUAUCUC
rnacentral:lncRNA from 1 species